UCCAGCUACUAGCGAUUCAUCAAUCACCGUUUUAAUCCUCACGUUUUUCGAACCUGUCAAUCGCUGUACACCUUUCGCGAUCUGAGCCAAAUGCUGCGAUUCCAAUUUCACAACAGAAGUGACCACAGCAAGUUCCGUGUCCGUAAGCGUAUUGUACACUUUCUCGAACUCCUUUACAAUUUCUUUGAUUAGCUCCACGCGCUUCAUGUCUACUAAAAUGUUCAGGAAAUUCGCCACGUGCGGCUGGAUGCUCGACGAUGAAACGAUCUCGUCCACGAGUUCGCGUUUCUUCUCUUCGCCGAC
rnacentral:lncRNA from 1 species